GAUUUAAAGAGGAUCAGAAGACUGAAGUUCUGGCUCCUGGGCUGUGUACUUAUUGAGAGAUCAGAGCUCGUGUAGUGGCAUGUCGCUCUACCGUUCACCUCUGCACCAGGCUUGCAGGAAUCCAAAGGGCUCCUUUGAUCAGCUCUGGUUUGAUGCUGGUGGUUUCUGCCUGUCGGAUCACUCCAAGGCAAACCUGAUGUCCACUGUUAUGCCCGUCGGAUCACAGUUUGUAUGCUCUGGAAUUUGUAUCCGCUAUAGUGCUUGAGCUAUUUAGCUUCUAUCGGUUUGGCCUGUUAGAGAAGACCUGAAACUCUUGGUCAUUUUAAACUACUCUCUACUAUCGAUGAAUAUACUAUGAAUAUUGUUAUUUGUUGGCA